rnacentral:rRNA from 1 species
GAUGAACGCUGGCGGCGUGCCUAACACAUGCAAGUCGAGCGACCGGACGAUAAGCUCGCUCCCUUGCUGUUAGCGGCGGACGGGCGAGUAACACGUGCAUAACCUACUUAUAUUACUUGGGUAAUUUCGGGAAACCGGAUCUAAUACCGGAGAAUAUUUUCAACGGCAUAGAUCAGAAGUGCAUGGCAGUUUGGCUGACACUUUUAGCUGGAUCCGCGCUGCAUUAGCUAGUUGGUAAGGUAACGGCUCACCAAGGCUACGAUGCGUAGCUGACCUGAGAGGGUGAUCGGCCACACUGGAACUGAGACACGGUCCAGACUCCUACGGGAGGCAGCAGUAGGGAAUCUUCCACAAAGGGCGAAAGCCUGACCCAGCCACGCCGCGUGAGUGAUGAAGGUCUUCGGAUCGUAAAGCUCUGUUAUUAGGAAAGAACAGAUGUGUAAGUAACUGCGCACAUCUUGACGGUACCUAAUCAGAAAGCCCCGGCUAACUACGUG